GGUGCGCCUUAUGCAUGCAAGUCGAGCGAAGCUUUUCAGUAGUUUACUACAGAAAAUGACUGAGCGGCGAACGGGUGAGUAACGCGUGAGCAAUCUACCUUAGUUACAGGGAUAGCCCGAGGAAACUCGGAUUAAUACCUGAUAUUCUUUAUUUCUCGCAUGAGAAUAAAAGGAAAGGUCAGCCGAACUAAGAUGAGCUCGCGUUCUAUCAGCUAGUUGGUGAGGUAAAAGCUUACCAAGGCUACGACGGAUAGCUGGUCUGAGAGGACGAUCAGCCACACUGGGACUGAGACACGGCCCAGACUCCUACGGGAGGCUGCAGCAGGGAAUACUGUGCAAUGAACGAGAGUUUGACACAGCGACACCGCGUGUGGGAUGACGGAUCUAGGUUUGUAAACCACUUUCAGGAGGGAAGAAAAUGACGGUACCUCCACAAGAAGCCCCGGCCAACUACGUGCCAGCAGCCGCGGUAAUACGUAGGGGGCGAGCGUUGUCCGGAUUUAUUGGGCGUAAAGAGCUCGUAGGCGGUUCAACAAGUCGGUAGUAAAAGUUCAGGGCUCAACCCUGAAAUGUCUAUCGAUACUGUUGUGACUAGGAUACGGCAGAGGUGAGUGGAAUUCCGAGUGUAGCGGUGAAAUGCGUAGAUAUUCGGAGGAACACCAAUUGCGAAGGCAGCUCACUGGGCCGCUAUCGACGCUGAGGAGCGAAAGCUAGGGGAGCAAACAGGAUUAGAUACCCUGGUAGUCCUAGCUGUAAACGAUGGAUACUAGACGUAGGAACUGGAUUGACGGUUUCUGUGUCGUAGCUAACGCGUUAAGUAUCCCGCCUGGGGAGUACGGUCGCAAGACUAAAACUCAAAGGAAUUGACGGGACCCCGCACAAGCGGCGGAGCAUGUGGCUUAAUUCGAUGAUACCCGUAGAACCUUACCUGGACUUGACAUAUAGGGUCAAGCUAUAGAGAUAUAGUGUGCAUUAGCGCCCUAUACAGGUGGUGCAUGGCUGUCGUCAGCUCGUGUCGUGAGAUGUUGGGUUAAGCCCCGCAACGAGCGCAACCCCUGUCCUAUGUUGCCAGCAUUUAGUUGGGGACUCAUAGGAGACUGCCGGUGAUAAUCCGGAGGAAGGUGGGGACGACGUCAAGUCAUCAUGCCCCUUAUGUCCAGGGCUGCACGCAUGCUACAAUGGCAAGUACAACGAGUCGCAAUACCGCGAGGUGGAGCAAAUCUCUCAAAGCUUGUCUCAGUUCGGAUAGGAGUCUGCAACUCGACUCCUUGAAGUUGGAGUCGCUAGUAAUCGCAAAUCAGCAAAGUUGCGGUGAAUACGUUCUCGGGGUUUGU
rnacentral:rRNA from 1 species